GAUGGUUCCCUCUCUCUCGUCGUACACCACGUUCUGGCCUGAACCGGUCUUCUCCUCGUCAAAGUCCUCUGAAAAUCAAGUCCGAACACAUCAUAUCACACAAUCAA